GGCUCUGUGGCGCAAUGGAUAGCGCAUUGGACUUCUAGUCAAGCAUUAUGAGAGGUGAUUCAAAGGUUGUGGGUUCGAGUCCCACCAGAGUCA
rnacentral:tRNA from 1 species